GUGUCAGCAGCCGCGGUAAUACGUAGGGUGCGAGCGUUAAUCGGAAUUACUGGGCGUAAAGCGUGCGCAGGCGGUUCUGCAAGUCAGAUGUGAAAUCCCCGGGCUUAACCUGGGAACUGCGUUUGAAACUACGGAGCUAGAGUGCGGCAGAGGGGGGUGGAAUUCCACGUGUAGCAGUGAAAUGCGUAGAUAUGUGGAGGAACACCGAUGGCGAAGGCAGCCCCCUGGGCCGACACUGACGCUCAGGCACGAAAGCGUGGGGAGCAAACAGGAUUAGAUACCCUGGUAGUCCACGCCCUAAACUAUGUCAACUAGUUGUCGGGGAAGCAAUUCCUUGGUAACGAAGCUAACGCGUGAAGUUGACCGCCUGGGGAGUACGGUCGCAAGAUUAAA
rnacentral:rRNA from 1 species